GCCUUCGUGGUGUAAUGGUCAGCACGCUGGGCGCGUAUUUUAGAGGUCCGUAGUUCGAAUCCCGGCGAAGGCG
rnacentral:tRNA from 1 species